rnacentral:rRNA from 1 species
UACGGGAGGCAGCAGUGAGGGAUAUUGGUCAAUGGGGGCAACCCUGAACCAGCAACGCCGCGUGAGUGAUGACGGUCUUCGGAUUGUAAAACUCUGUCCUCAGGGAAGAUAAUGACGGUACCUGAGGAGGAAGCUCCGGCUAACUACGUGCCAGCAGCCGCGGUAAU